GACGAUGUUUUACCAUACUUCAAAAAGUCAGAAGAUAUUCAAAUUCCAGAGCUGAUUAAUUCCUCGUAUCAUGGACAUGGAGGUCCCUUGGUUAUAACAGAAGGACAUACGACGCCGAUAGAGUUCCUGCAUAGGUUAGCAGCUAAGGAAAAAGGCUUGCCAGUCACUGAUUGUAAUGGUUUUAAUCAAAUUGGCUAUUGUGCCAUACAAGCAAACGUAAAACACGGCGAACGUUGUUCUUCAGCAAGUUGUUUUCUAAGACCUAAAUUGCACAGACGAAAUUUACAGGUUGCUACCAACAGCCACGUU